rnacentral:rRNA from 1 species
ACUCGAGUGGCGAACGGGUGAGUAACACGUGGGUGAUCUGCCUUGCACUUCGGGAUAAGCUUGGGAAACUGGGUCUAAUACCGGAUAGGACCAUGCUUUAGUGUGUGUGGUGGAAAGUUUUUCGGUGCAAGAUGAGCCCGCGGCCUAUCAGCUUGUUGGUGGGGUAAUGGCCUACCAAGGCGACGACGGGUAGCCGGCCUGAGAGGGUGUACGGCCACAUUGGGACUGAUACACGGCCCAG